rnacentral:lncRNA from 1 species
AUGAAUUGGGGUGAUUUUUUUUUUAUUAUAAUAUCUAAUAAUAAUUCGAAAAAAGACAACUGAGUAUGAAUUGGGGUAAAUUUUUUUAUUGUACCCUUACAUGCAUAGGUGCCAACCUAUUUAUUGAUAUUCACAUAUGAUUCUCAUAUUAGUUACUGAGACAAAUAAGAAAAGAAGAUCUAAGCUCUCAUUUAUCCCUUGAUCAAAAUUCCAAUAAUGUCUCAUAACUUCAACAAACACUGUGUUCAGCAAGCUGAUACGCAUGCCAUGAAAGUUUCAUUUCAUUACAAGCAAUACUAUACCAAAUUUAGAAAGUGAGGCAGGUGAAACAAAUAUAUAGAUGCGAUACAAAACACCUUAAGUUUCAUUAGAGUGUUGUGAAAGAAGAAACAAUAAAAAAUAUUGAUGUUUAGAAUACAAAAGACCAUACAUAAAUUUAACUUAACUGUAAGACAGACAUAUUAUAUAUAUGCGCGACUAUUUCACCAUCAUCGCUGGUAUGUAGUUGGCUAAUGCGGUAACUCUUUACUUGUGAAACCACUUGAAUUGAACAGAAAUAUACAUGUAAAUCUAUAUUAAGAAAAAUUGCAGCAAACUUACUUCCUGCUUUACACUGGCACAAGAAGAGCAAUUUAAAUUAUCAUCAGCCUCCUUCAUGUUUCACUUUAAUUUGGUCGAUAAUAUAGAAGUCAAAGUUUUUACGGAGCAUGUCACUCGAAAUUGACUUAUUAGAUUGGAGAUCAGUCAACACUUUAUAACUCAAUAAGUUGUAUUCCAAAUUACAGCAAUCUAGACCCAAAUCUUAGAUAUAUGCUAUAAAAGCUUGUCUAUACCUUAAUAGGACUUAUAUAAAAACAACAUUACAAGAUAGGCCAUUGGCAUCAAACAUCAUUUGCAGCAAAGAAAUUUGAGUGCUCGACCACCCAAAUUCACUACAGAAAAUGUAUAUAACAACAUAACCUACUCUUAAAUAUGAAAAAAAUAAUCGUCGAAAUAUGAAAAACAAUAUUAAUACCAAAAAAAAUCGUGCCAUGGGUUGUUUAAA